rnacentral:lncRNA from 1 species
UAAGGGGUAUUAAGCUAAGAUUCAAAGGGAGAAAAGAGACAUGAAAGAACUUACGGGAGUUAAACUACAUUCAUCCACUUUCAAAUAUAAACUUUUCUGCUAUUUUUCUUCUCUUUUAUCUUUUUAUUCUCUUUGUUUUUUAUUUUUCAGAAGGAAUAUAUAAUAACACCCUUCUUUGUUUUUUCCACUUUUUUUUUCUAUUUCUCUUUUAUUUU